CUUUAUGUUCAGUUAAGAUUGCCAGUUAUGAGGGACCAACUGCCUCGUAUUGUUUCCUGCCUCAGACGUGUCUCAUGUUGUUGUAUUUAGUUUUUCUCAUUAUGUUGCUUUGUUACAGUAUUAUUAUUAUUAUGUGAGCCACUUAAUCAUCAUAACCUCCGAUAAUAGAAUCAGAUUUUAAAAGUAAAAGCUGAACUAAUUUUCUUCAAAAUAUAAGUAAAAUCAGCAGGGGGUUUUUUUAAUAGGCAUUAUAAAAUAGAAUUCAAUGUUAAAAAUAAAAUUACAUGUUAGCAAUACAUGUCAAUAUCUGGGUGGCAGGGUUGCCUAAACAUUCGUAGCAAGCACCAAAAAAUGAUAUUGCAAAGUUAAAGGUAAAGGACCCCUGACAGUUAAGUCCAGUCGCAAAGGAUUCUGGGGUUGUGGUGUUCAUCUUGCUUUACUGGCCGAGGGAGCCGACGUUUGUCCGCAGACAGUUUUUCCGGGUCAUGUGGCCAGCAUGACUAAGCCACUUCUGGCAAAACCAGAGCAGCACAUGGAAACGCCGUUUACCUUCCCGCCAGAGUGGUACCUAUUUAUCUACUUGCACUUUAACGUGCUUUCGAACUGCUAGGUUGGCAGGAGCUGGGACCGAGCAACGGGAGCUCACUCCGUCCCAGGGAUUCGAACCGCCGACCUUCUGAUUGGCAAGCCCUAGGCUCAGUGGUUUAGACCACAGCGCCACCUGCAUCGCUGAUAUUGCAAAAGCCCCUUCCUAAUAUCAAUGGGCAGCAAGUUCCAGAGCAUACAUGCUGCCACACUGAAGGACUGAUUCCUUGAUGGUGCCACUUAUAAGUAUCAGUUCCACAGAUCAAAGCAGUCAAACAACUGUAUAUGGGGUAGGCAUGUAUGAUGAAUGAGCUGCAUGCAUGGAACAAUAGAAUCAGAAUUCUAUAGUUGGAAAGGACCCCAAGUGUCAUCUGGUUCAACCCCCUGAAAUGCAGGAAUAUGCAGGUAGGACUGAACCCGUGACUUCAGCAUUAUCAGCACCAUGCUCUAAUCAUCUGAGCUAAGAUGGAGGUAGGUCAGUAUGAUCCCCUGGGUGCUACCCAAACCAGCAUCAAAAAUCUAGAUUUGAGAGGGUGGAAAACCACAGGAAAGAGGGAUGUGUAACAUUCUGCCAAUGUAUGCAUUCUUCACAAGCCUACAAUCCCCCCCCCCAAAUACUGUGAAAUAUAUCCUACUGAAAUCAAUGGGCCUUACUUCCAAGUAAACAUGAUUAGGAACAGACUGUUAGUCUAUAAUCCUGACAUUCCACAGCAGUCAACGAGAUUUAGGUGUCCAUACCCAACUGUUGGCACAAGAAUUAAUCUGAACACAUUUUUUCUCCUGCUGGUCUGGCUGCUGUCUGGCUCAAAAAGCUUCAGGUUGAUAAUGUAUAUAUUAAAAGUAAAGAGACUGUCAUACACAUUCAGGCAUGCAGCCACAAUGAGUUUGUAAUUAUAUCCAGGAAAUCCCUCUAAAGGCAGCUGGAUGGUGCAUUUUAUUUUUUUUUAAGGAAAGGAGAAAUUGGCCCACUUGAAAUUAAAUCACUACAUUCUGAAUAUGUCCAAGAAAAUACAAUACAACGGCCCUGUAAGCCUUCCUCUCAUAUUAAAUUUGCUGCUACUGGUGCCAACUGGAUCAAACAAAAAUUUGGAAAGGUGUACUCUAAAAGUAGCCAAAUCCCAUUCUCUCUUAAUUACGAGGCUUGCAUGUUGGGAUGCUGUACUAAAUCAUUCUCGCCCAGAUGUAUUAUAAUUAUACUGGUGAAUUAGCCUUAUGCUGAGUAACAUCAUGUACCAUAGGUAAUAAUCAGUCCCCUGAGCUCAUCCAUUCUACUCAUUUGCUCCCUUAUGUUCAUGAGAAAGGGCUAUCUUUGGAUUGUUAAUUAUUAUUUUCUUUUUUCUUUUUUUAGGAAACUCCUGGUUCUCUUACAGGAAACACACACACAGUUCUUUUCAGAGCUGAGAAAUAGGUAGCCAGGAGCUGUGAACAUGGAGCUAGAAGUCACUGCCAAUGAAGAUUAGUAUUUCUGGGGCAAGUUGCAACCUGAAUAGGAUACAUCGAAACCCUUCUAGCUGAGGAUAGCCAAUGGUCUGGGUGGAGGAAGUCAUUCCGUGAUGCAGCAACCCAUUACCAGCAAUGACUCACCACACAUGGCACCUGCACAGUGACAUUUCCCCAUUUCCAACUUUCUGUGAAACUUUCCCAAGAUUACAUCAUACUCACAUAUGACCAAGAAAUGGAGCUGGGGAUGGAGCUAUGCAGACAACAGAACAUGAAAAAUCAAGCACUAUAUUUGAGGAUAGCAUUGAUACUGGCUGUUGUGUCCUAACAUCAAGCAAAAUUCUACUGGGCACGGUGGGGCACCAAGAUAUGCGGCACCAAGAUAUGCGGGCCAGAUUUGUAUCACCUUGGAGUAUUCCAAAUGACCAACUUUCUCUGAAGAAGCUGGAGGCUGACUGGCUGCCUGCUUUUCAUAACAUGAACCGGGCACAUUUUUAGAAGGACGGCUGCAGUAGAUUUGCCACACGGACAGGGUGCACCCAUUUCUCCCACCUACUCCAUUCACUAUUGAAAAAUGGCAAAGUGGGUGAAAUUUGCAGGCCUCUCCACAGUGGAUAAAACCUGCUAAAUGGCUAGCCUCGAGUUUUGUGGGUAUUUGACCUGCAAAUUGUAAACAUAAGAGAAGUGCCUUUAAGUAAAACAAGAACAACUUUCAAACUGCAGACAAAUAGGACCAGGGCCAUAUAUCCUAGUCACAUUUAAAUAUGUUUUUGGGUGGGAAUAGCUACAAAGGGAUGAACUUCAUGGGUUAAAUAAUUUCCUCUGAUUACAAGCUAGACCUGUAACUUGUGAAAUGCUUCCCCAUUCUAGUAUCUUCCCAAAGCACAGAGACAUAAAUUUCACUCUUGCAAAUCUUUUAUUCUCCUCCCCCCGCCCCCAAGCGCUGGGAUUGGAAAAUACUGGUAAAUUAUUUCCCUCUGAUUACAAGCUAGACCUGUUAGUCACAAAGGAGUCUCUCCCCUCACCCCACAAUCCUUGCAUUUACCUUUAGAGGGAGACUUGAGUUUCAAACUUAAAUUAUCUGAAUCUAAUGAAUACCCUUACUAUUUUUAUCUAGUAUAGAGGGGGAAACCAAUUGGUUUCACUCUGAAAAAGUGUAACAAAACUGUAGCACACAGACACACCUCAAACUGGGCAGAAUGUGACAGUCCUCAGAGACCAACUCCCCCCCCCCAAUCUGCUAAAUCUUUAGGGCUCAUUGGCACAAAUUCCAAUUACUUUAUUUUGAAUAGAACUGUAAACACCCAUGAAUGAUAAACAGAUAUGCUUACCCUAUGGAAAUAUAUGGAGCAGCCCACACAUAGUAUAGUUCUACUGCAUGGAUGAGAGAAACACCUGUGGCAUCUCUGAACUAGGUCAUUUAUAUGUGUGUGGGUGCACCCCUAAUUUCAAGUCUUUGUGUAUGUAUUUUAUAAAGAAAAUAUAUAUUGCUCCUAGCAAAAGAGAUAUAGACAUAUAUUAAAACAGUCUGACAUUCAUCUUCUAAGCCUUUAGAAUAUCUCAGGGUUUCUGACACAGCACCUGUCAGAAUAUAAAUAUCAAAACUAGUGAUCAAAAAUUGCUUCUUUUUUCAACAGAGCAUUAACAAUAUAUCAUAAUGGGAGAACCUAUUCCCACACACUUUUAUAAUCAAGCAUCAUAUUCAGUUCAGGUGCUUUUUCUGCUACAGUGUCAGGAGCUGGAGUCAGGUGUAGGUCAGCAAUAAAACACCCGAAACCAGUGAAGUUAAUGCUUUAUUCAAAGAAACAAAACAGCUCAGUCCUAGUGGUCACAGCAACCUUUCUCAGUAGGUUUUGGCCCAAUGAAGCAGUUGCGAGGACUGAAGUUCCCUGCCUUCCCACCGCCCUCUAAGGCUCCCCCCCCCCCAGGUUCCUUCCCCAGCAGCCUAAAGCUCCUUCUUGUUGCUCUGCCACCUUCAUUUCUUUGCAUGUUCUGGAAGACUGGGGAGAGGGAGCUAGUCACAGCUGGAGGAGGAGACUCCCUGGAUUCUUCAGCAGCCUGCCUCCACUCUGCCUUUUCGUCCCUCUCUGCUUCUGCCUCUAAAUCUGGACUGCUCUCUGCCACAGCCUCUUCCUGCUCACUAAACCCUGUUACUGCUUCAGUUUCUGACACCUCCUCCUGCCAGUCUUCUGCAUCUUCUCCAUCUGACACCCCUCCCCAUUGUUGUCCCACCACCAAUCUCAUAGCUCUGAACCUUCUUCCCCUGGGGAUUCCCCAGCUGGUGCCUCUCACCA